AUUGAACGCUGGCGGCAUGCCUUACACAUGCAAGUCGAACGGCAGCACGGGAGCAAUCCUGGUGGCGAGUGGCGAACGGGUGAGUAAUAUAUCGGAACGUGCCCAGUCGUGGGGGAUAACGUAGCGAAAGCUACGCUAAUACCGCAUACGAUCUAUGGAUGAAAGCGGGGGAUCGCAAGACCUCGCGCGAUUGGAGCGGCCGAUAUCAGAUUAGGUAGUUGGUGAGGUAAAGGCUCACCAAGCCGACGAUCUGUAGCUGGUCUGAGAGGACGACCAGCCACACUGGGACUGAGACACGGCCCAGACUCCUACGGGAGGCAGCAGUGGGGAAUUUUUGGACAAUGGGCGCAAGCCUGAUCCAGCAAUGCCGCGUGCAGGAUGAAGGCCUU
rnacentral:rRNA from 1 species